rnacentral:lncRNA from 1 species
CAAAUUAGGAGGUAGGGAGAGAACUCAGUUUUCCCGGCUCAGGGGCCAGGCAGGCGUCUUGGGGGCCAUGCAGAAGGCUCCUGGAGGGUGAGAGAGAAAGUGCAGGUGCCUGGUGAGGCCAGGUCUUUGAAGAGGCCAAGACAUGGUGUUCCCAACAGAAGAACGGCCUGAAGUUGAAAGGCCUUGGGGGUGUGAGUGUCUCUGCUUUUUCCAGAAAGAUUUCUUAGGACAUCAAGUCGUCUGAAAAGGUUUCCUUUUUGGAGAACAAGCCUCGCUCUUUGGGGUACUGGAUGGUCUCUAAGAGGCACUGCCUGUCCCAGUUUCUACAAAGUUGGGGCAGCCUCUCUGGGAUAGGCCAGCCCAGCUCUGAAAGCUGAGCCAAGGGGCUGUUUCUGGAAGAUGGAAGAAUCUUGGUGAAACGGCACAAGUAUGGGCUGUUCAACAAUUAACCAGGUUAUCACAAACUACAAGGAUGGGGUGGUAUCUAAGCUGUUGAAGUCGAAAACCUAUUUAAUGUGUAGAGCCUCCAAUCUUUACCCCAGUAGCCUGCCACUGGAAUAUGAGCUCCAAGAAGGCAGCGUGGAGUAUCAUCACAGAGAAUCUACAAUGUGCUACUGUGUGCUCUCUGCUAGAAGCUGAAGAUAAGGAGUCAACAAGAUUCAGACAAUAUCCUGGAAGAAUCUGCAGACUAAGAAAAGAUAUAUGCACAAAUAAAUAAUGAUACAAUAUGCUAGGAUUUAUUAGGAAUAUAUAGACAACGUACUGAGUGACUACAGUUACCGAACAACUGACUCUCUCAGAGGAGGUAAAGGAAGGAUUCACUGGGAAGGUAAUCUUUGAGCUGGGUUUUGAAGGAUGAAUAAGAGUCUACCAGGAAGAGAAAAAGAGGAAAUCAAGGGUGGCCACAAGACAAGGGCCAGAGUAAUUCAGGGGUCCAGUGAUAAUGCUCCGAGGUGGCUAAUCGUCAUUCGUAGGAGCUAUGGCUCAAGUGUCGCAAAUUGUGACUUGUUGAAUAGAAGCUUUUAAUUUGAUAAUAUAAUGCAGAAAACAUUUUAAGUACAGA